UUAGAGUGUAAUGUAAUUUGGUUAACAUAUUUACUUUGGGAGUAAAAAAGUGUAGGUUCGAAUCCUACUACUCUAAA
rnacentral:tRNA from 1 species